AGAGUUUGAUCAUGGCUCAGGAUGAACGCUAGCGGCAGGCUUAAUACAUGCAAGUCGAGGGGCAGCAUGAGUGUAGCAAUACAUUUGAUGGCGACCGGCAAACGGGUGCGGAACACGUACAGAACCUUCCUUCGAGCGGGGAAUAGCCCAGAGAAAUUUGGAUUAAUACCCCAUAGCAUUAUGAAGUGGCAUCACUUUAUAAUUAAAGAUUUAUCACUUGAAGAUGGCUGUGCGGCUGAUUAGGUAGUUGGCGGGGUAACGGCCCACCAAGCCUGCGAUCAGUAACUGGUGUGAGAGCACGACCAGUCACACGGGCACUGAGACACGGGCCCGACUCCUACGGGAGGCAGCAGUAAGGAAUAUUGGUCAAUGGACGCAAGUCUGAACCAGCCAUGCCGCGUGGAGGAUGAAGGUCCUCUGGAUUGUAAACUUCUUUUAUCUGGGACGAAAAAAGAUCUUUCUAGAUCAACUGACGGUACCAGAUAAUAG
rnacentral:rRNA from 1 species